UGAACGCUAGCGACAGGCCUAACACAUGCAAGUCGAGGGGCAGCACAAGGAGCAAUCUGAGGUGGCGACCGGCGCACGGGUGAGUAACACGUAUGCAACCUGCCUGUAAGCGGGGAAUAACCCGUUGAAAGACGGACUAAUACCGCAUAAUACUAAAUUACUGCAUGGUAAUUUAUUUAAACAUUUAUGGCUUACAGAUGGGCAUGCGCAUGAUUAGCUAGUUGGAGAGGUAACGGCUCCCCAAGGCAACGAUCAUUAGGGGUUCUGAGAGGAAGGUCCCCCACACUGGUACUGAGACACGGACCAGACUCCUACGGGAGGCAGCAGUGAGGAAUAUUGGUCAAUGGACGAGAGUCUGAACCAGCCAAGUCGCGUGAAGGAAAAGAAGGAUCUAUGGUUCGUAAACUUCUUUUGCAGGGGAAUAAAGUGCAGGACGUGUCCUGUUUUGUAUGUACCCUGAGAAUAAGGAUCGGCUAACUCCGUGCCAGCAGCAGC
rnacentral:rRNA from 1 species